GGGACCUGGCGGCGUGCUAUACAUGCAAGUCGAACGAGUUCUGAUUAUUGAAAGGUGCUUGCAUCUUGAUUUAAUUUUGAACGAGUGGCGGACGGGUGAGUAACACGUGGGUAACCUGCCCUUAAGUGGGGGAUAACAUUUGGAAACAGAUGCUAAUACCGCAUAAAUCCAAGAACCGCAUGGUUCUUGGCUGAAAGAUGGCGUAAGCUAUCGCUUUUGGAUGGACCCGCGGCGUAUUAGCUAGUUGGUGAGGUAACGGCUCACCAAGGCAAUGAUACGUAGCCGAACUGAGAGGUUGAUCGGCCACAUUGGGACUGAGACACGGCCCAAACUCCUACGGGAGGCAGCAGUAGGGAAUCUUCCACAAUGGACGCAAGUCUGAUGGAGCAACGCCGCGUGAGUGAAGAAGGCUUUCGGGUCGUAAAACUCUGUUGUUGGAGAAGAAUGGUCGGCAGAGUAACUGUUGUCGGCGUGACGGUAUCCAACCAGAAAGCCACGGCUAACUACGUGCCAGCAGCCGCGGUAAUACGUAGGUGGCAAGCGUUAUCCGGAUUUAUUGGGCGUAAAGCGAGCGCAGGCGGUUUUUUAAGUCUGAUGUGAAAGCCCUCGGCUUAACCGAGGAAGUGCAUCGGAAACUGGGAAACUUGAGUGCAGAAGAGGACAGUGGAACUCCAUGUGUAGCGGUGAAAUGCGUAGAUAUAUGGAAGAACACCAGUGGCGAAGGCGGCUGUCUGGUCUGUAACUGACGCUGAGGCUCGAAAGCAUGGGUAGCGAACAGGAUUAGAUACCCUGGUAGUCCAUGCCGUAAACGAUGAAUGCUAGGUGUUGGAGGGUUUCCGCCCUUCAGUGCCGCAGCUAACGCAUUAAGCAUUCCGCCUGGGGAGUACGACCGCAAGGUUGAAACUCAAAGGAAUUGACGGGGGCCCGCACAAGCGGUGGAGCAUGUGGUUUAAUUCGAAGCAACGCGAAGAACCUUACCAGGUCUUGACAUCUUUUGAUCACCUGAGAGAUCAGGUUUCCCCUUCGGGGGCAAAAUGACAGGUGGUGCAUGGUUGUCGUCAGCUCGUGUCGUGAGAUGUUGGGUUAAGUCCCGCAACGAGCGCAACCCUUAUGACUAGUUGCCAGCAUUUAGUUGGGCACUCUAGUAAGACUGCCGGUGACAAACCGGAGGAAGGUGGGGAUGACGUCAAAUCAUCAUGCCCCUUAUGACCUGGGCUACACACGUGCUACAAUGGAUGGUACAACGAGUUGCGAGACCGCGAGGUCAAGCUAAUCUCUUAAAGCCAUUCUCAGUUCGGACUGUAGGCUGCAACUCGCCUACACGAAGUCGGAAUCGCUAGUAAUCGCGGAUCAGCACGCCGCGGUGAAUACGUUCCCGGGCCUUGUACACACCGCCCGUCACACCAUGAGAGUUUGUAACACCCGAAGCCGGUGGCGUAACCCUUUUAGGGAGCGAGCCGUCUAAGGUGGACCAAUUGUGGG
rnacentral:rRNA from 1 species